AUUGAACGCUGGCGGCAUGCUUUAUACAUGCAAGUCGUGCGGCAGCGCGGGGGCAACUCUGGCGGCGAGCGGCGAACGGGUGAGUAAUACAUAGGAACGUAUCCUGAAAUGGGGGAUAGCUCGGCGAAAGCCGGAUUAAUACCGCAUACGCUCCACGGAGGAAAGCAGGGGAUCGCAAGACCUUGCGUUUCUGGAGCGGCCUAUGUCUGAUUAGCUAGNGGCGGGGUAAUAGCCCACCAAGGCGACGAUCAGUAGCUGGUCUGAGAGGAUGAUCAGCCACACUGGAACUGAGACACGGUCCAGACUCCUACGGGAGGCAGCAGUGGGGAAUAUUGCGCAAUGGGCGAAAGCCUGACGCAGCCACGCCGCGUGAGCGAUGAAGG
rnacentral:rRNA from 1 species